rnacentral:ncRNA from 2 species
UACGAAGGGGGCUAGCGUUGUUCGGAUUUACUGGGCGUAAAGCGCACGUAGGCGGAUUGGUCAGUUAGGGGUGAAAUCCCGGAGCUCAACUCCGGAACUGCCUUUAAUACUGCCAGUCUAGAGUCCGAGAGAGGUGAGUGGAACUCCUAGUGUAGAGGUGGAAUUCGUAGAUAUUAGGAAGAACACCAGUGGCGAAGGCGGCUCACUGGCUCGGUACUGACGCUGAGGUGCGAAAGCGUGGGGAGCAAACAGG